AGUGGCGCACGGGUGAGUAGCGCGUGGGAACCUGCCCUGUUGUGGGGGAUAACCGAGGGAAACUUCGGCUAAUACCGCGUGCGCCCCUGCAAGAAAGAUUCGCAGCAGGAGGGGCCCGCGUCGGAUUAGCUAGUUGGUGGGGUAACGGCCUACCAAGGCGGCGAUCCGUAGCUGGUCUGAGAGGAUGAUCAGCCACACUGGGACUGAGACACGGCCCAGACUCCUACGGGAGGCAGCAGUGGGGAAUAUUGGACAAUGGGCGCAAGCCUGAUCCAGCAAUGCCGCGUGAGUGAUGAAGGCCUUCGGGUUGUAAAGCUCUUUCGGCGGGGACGAUUGACGGUACCCGCAGAAGAAGCCCCGGCUAACUUCGUGCCAGCAGCCGCGGUAAUACGAAGGGGGCGAGCGUUGUUCGGAUUUACUGGGCGUAAAGGGCGCGUAGGCGGCGGACCGUGUCGAGUGUGAAAGCCCCGGGCUCAACCUGGGAGGUGCGCUUGAGAC
rnacentral:rRNA from 1 species